GAUGAACGCUGGCGGCGUGCUUAACACGUGCAAGUCGAACGAUUAAAGCCCCUUCGGGGGUGUAUAGAGCGGCGAACGGGUGAGUAACACGUGGGCAAUCUGCCCCUCACUUCGGGAUAACUCAGGGAAACCUGAGCUAAUACCGGAUACUCCGGGAUGGUCGCAUGGCCAACCCGGGAAAGUCCCGGCGGUGAGGGAUGAGCCAGCGGCCCAUUAGCUUGUUGGUGAGGUAACGGCUCACCAAGGCGACGAUGGGUAGCCGAGCUGAGAGGCUGAUCGGCCACACUGGGACUGAGACACGGCCCAGACUCCUACGGGAGGCAGCAGUGGGGAAUCUUGCGCAAUGGGCGAAAGCCUGACGCAGCAACGCCGCGUGCGGGAUGAAGGCCUUCGGGUUGUAAACCGCUUUCAGCAGGGAUGAAAAUGACAGUACCUGCAGAAGAAGCCCCGGCUAACUACGUGCCAGCAGCCGCCUAA
rnacentral:rRNA from 1 species